UACAGAGGGGGCAAGCGUUGUUCGGAAUUACUGGGCGUAAAGGGCGCGUAGGCGGCCUUCUAAGUCGAACGUGAAAUCCCCGGGCUCAACCCGGGAACUGCGUCCGAUACUGGAAGGCUUGAAUCCGGGAGAGGGAUGCGGAAUUCCAGGUGUAGCGGUGAAAUGCGUAGAUAUCGUAAGGAAGACCAGUGGCGAAGGCGGGUCUCUGGACAGUUCCUGACGCUGAGGCACGAAGGCCAGGGGAGCAAACGGG
rnacentral:rRNA from 1 species